rnacentral:misc_RNA from 1 species
GUGAGUCAUCGAAUCUUUGAACGCACAUUGCGCCCGCCAGCACUCUGGCGGGCAUGCCUGUCCGAGCGUCAUUUCAACCCUCAGGACCCCUCCGGGGGACCUGGCGCUGGGGACCGGCCGCCCACCAGGGCCGCCGCCCCCCAAACCCAGUGGCUGCCCAUCGCGGGUGACUCUGCGCAGUAGUGAUACCUCGCAGCGGUCUCAGCGGUGCGGACUCGCCGUAAAACCCCCAACUCAUCAAGGUUGACCUCGGAUCAGGUAGGAAUACCCGCUGAACUUAAGCAUAUCAAUAAGCGGAGGA